rnacentral:snRNA from 14 species
AUCUUUGUGCUUGGGGCAAUACGAUAGUGUGUGAAGCUUUGCUGAUGCAUCGUGAUUGCUAGUUGAAAACUACUCCAACACCCGUGAGAAGGCCACUGGCCGUCUCCAAUUUCUGUUAUAUCUCCCAAUCCGGGAGGACAAUGUUAAAAUAAAU